rnacentral:misc_RNA from 1 species
UCACUGCUUGCGCAGGCAGUCUCUUUAGAGUCCCCACCAUCACGUGCUGGCAACAUAGGACGAGGGUUGCGCUCGUUGCGGGACUUAACCCAACAUCUCACGACACGAGCCGACGACAACCAUGCACCACCUGUAUACCGACCUUGCGGGGGCUACAUCUCUGCAGCUUUCCGGCAUAUGUCAAACCCAGGUAAGGUUCUUCGCGUUGCAUCGAAUUAAUCCGCAUGCUCCGCCGCUUGUGCGGGCCCCCGUCAAUUCCUUUGAGUUUUAACCUUGCGGCCGUACUCCCCAGGCGGAUAACUUAAUGCGUUAGCUGCGCCACCAAAACCCUAAGGGCCCUGACAGCUAGUUAUCAUCGUUUACGGCGUGGACUAC